rnacentral:lncRNA from 1 species
GGGGAGGUAACUCUCAAAAAGUGCAUUUUCUGAAGGUUUCUGUAUGGAAUUUUCCUAUUUUGUAUUUUAGCCAGAAAAAAACGUACGGUGACCCUAUCUUUUCUUUUGAUAUUCUCAAAGCAGUGUCUGAAAGCUAUCUUUUCCUGAAGUAUUUAACAAUUCUAUCAUUUUGUUUAGUUUCUAAUCACAAAAUGGUGUUUUUUCCUGUAUAAUCCAUACAAAAUGUGUCAUUUUGUCCCGUCCUGUAGCUUGAGAAAAUGUGCGGUGACCUAUCAUUUUUAUUAUAUUUUUCAACAUGUAUCAAUUGAUACAACGUUUUGGCAAAGUAUGAACAAAUUCUAUCAUUUUUAUUUUAGACUCCUAUACCACCUUAACUA